rnacentral:misc_RNA from 1 species
GCUCUGUUCAGGUCUUUCGAUAUCUUUCCGGACUCGUGUUUUUUUUCGUGCAUCGCAUGGAUAUUCAAAGUGCUGCAAUCAAGGUGUGUGGAUUCAUGCGUAGUUUUAGGAUGCUGGGUCGUCAGUUGGGCGUGGCCUCUUCCACGCUGUCCCGCUUAAGGUUUUUACGGAAAUGGAAUCAAGACGAUUCGCGAAGCUAUUGAACAGUUGUUCGACAAGUAACCGGUAUCUUUGACCGACCCGUAUCAACAAGCAUCCGUUCUCCCGCUUGCCUUACGAUCGACAUGCUUACAUUACGGAUUCUUCAAGUUUUCGAAUCUUUUUUUCUCCCUAUGCCAGCCAUGAGCGCAGCGACUCGCACUGUUGGAUUGUCGACCGGGCACCGUCGACACCGACGCUUGAGGUUUCGUUCACGGGCUCAUGCUGAAGGCUCACUGAGCCAGUCACGACAAGAGGAUGGAUGUGCUUCAGGAGGUGAAUCCCGCGCUGUCUCUCUCUAGCGAAGAAACGGGAAUCGGCACCAGCGUGAUACGUUUUGUGGAGUACGCUACGAGAGCUUGCUUUCAAGUACAGAAUCUUCCCGAGCUCGGGCUUGAGUCAUCGCAGUGCUUGCUUCGUGUGUGCAGCGCGGUGACGGACGCUGGACACGAAUGCAGCGAUGACGGGUCGAGAUUUCGCGACUUGUUCUCCAGCGUGAGUGCUCCUUCCGGUCCCUGUCUCACGAUGAGCAACAUCGGGUCCCAGAAAAAUCCGCUCUCGAAUGAAGCAGCGUGGACGUGUGUGAGUCUGUGUAUCUGUGUGUCAGUAUGUGUCUGUGUCUGUAUGUGUGUCUCUGUGUGUGUGUGUGUGUGUGUGUUUGAGCGCGCACAGCAGUCAGCAUGCUCGCCGAGUGUAUCGCCUCGCGGAAGACCGUGUUCAUCGCGUACGGCACUGGGCACGGAAAUGGGGUCGUCCCCUGAGGUGAGCGUCCAGUGCAUGUGGCAGGCAGCACUCGGGGAAGCAGGUGCCCAGGACGUACGGGCAUACCCGACCAUGGUCACGUGUCAGUACUGUGAAGGGCGCAACGAGGAUCUACACGAAGCAAGUCGUGCAAACGGCAACCGAGGCGUAGAACGCAACUACUGUCUUUGCGCGAAUUCUGUCUGAAACAGCCGGAAGCGAUGAAUUCGGGACUUGAACACCGGCGACAGCAUUCUGAGACUGCUGACAACGCAGCUGGAGGAACAGGGGAAACCGGCGUAUGGCGAGCCAGAGAAUAUACAGAGAGAGAGAGAAGGGAAACAGUCGCAGAAACAUCCCGUAAAGGCCGACGUCCAUGGCGAUGGAAUGAGACGAAAACUUUGGGGUGUACGCUCCUGCUAGGUAAGUAGACCUGUUCCAUUUUAUGCUGACAUGGGUAUCGCGUGUAAGCCCGUGUUCGCUCAUCGGGCCUGCUCCAUUCCAGUCGCAGACGGGUUUCGGAAUAUGCGCUGCAGCGCACAACAGUGAAACACCGUUUGAACGACUUCGGGGUUGGUGUGUAUCUCCGCGUCUGUGUUUCAACGUUGUAGUUAUAUCGAGCGCUUCCAUCUCGUGAACUCGCAGUGAUCAACAUAGCUACCAGGAGCGCGCUCACUUUACGUUUUCUUUUGUGAGGCCGACGCCUUUCUUUCGAAGCCGCCUGUGGUCGAACGGUCGCUAUUUCGUUCGUUUGUUGCCAGCAGCGGGUCUGCUACGUUCAAGUUCAGUACAAACAGCUAUUUCUCUGUGAUUUUAAUUUAUACUCAACCUAGUCUAUACUCGUGAACUGGUCACAGAUGCUGGUAAACGCCGUCUAGGG